UGGGGUAGCGGUGUUGGUAGACUAUAUAUAGAGGACUAAUGACAGUCGAUUGCAGUCAUUCAGGUAGACUAGCAACGGAUCGUUCAUCAAAGUAGCAAGCAAUCAUGCUAUCAUCACAAAUUUGUCUUCUAUUCAUUGUCACCACCAGCUGGUUCUGUUUAAAUACCGCAUCACAAUUGGAAAAUAUGGAAAUGCUGGCACCACCAGAAAGACCAUCCUCAAUAACGAACAUUGACGAGCUACGACGAUAUAUCAAAGAACUCAAUAUGUACUAUUUGAUUCUCGCAAGACCAAGAUAUGGACGUUCUGUUUCAAAUAAGAAACCUGUUAGAUCGCAACCACAGUCAUGACAAGCAUCUAGUUUGUUAAAGAUGUGAGAAUUUACAAAUUGCUCUUCAAGAACAGAUUAUCAUGACCAUUUUGUGGACAAUAAUUUAACUUUCUCUUUAAGAGUCCAGCAACCGUCUUUGUUUAAAGACAACAGCUUUCUGUCUGACAUCACCGAAUUGUUGAUUGUUAUACUUAUUUGUAAAUAAAAGAAUGAAAAUUACACCUCUGUUUCUUAGGGUCUCAUUUUGAAUAUUUUACAUUAA